rnacentral:misc_RNA from 1 species
GAUGAAGAACGCAGCGAAAUGCGAUACGUAAUGUGAAUUGCAAAUUCAGUGAAUCAUCGAGUCUUUGAACGCACAUUGCGCCCCCUGGUAUUCCGGGGGGCAUGCCUGUCCGAGCGUCAUUGCUGCCCUCAAGCACGGCUUGUGUGUUGGGCCCCGUCCUCCGAUCCCGGGGGACGGGCCCGAAAGGCAGCGGCGGCACCGCGUCCGGUCCUCGAGCGUAUGGAGCUUUGUCACCCGCUCUGUAGGCCCGGCCGGCGCUUGCCGAUCAACCCAAAUUUUUAUCCAGGUUGACCUCGGAUCAGGUAGGGAUACCCGCUGAACUUAAGCAUAUCAAUAAGCGGAGGA